UGACGUUCCGCCGUGCAAGACCUAAGCCCGGGUCGCGUUAAACCUUGCCGGACGUUCAAUAAAGUUGUAUCCAUCCAUCCACC
rnacentral:lncRNA from 1 species